rnacentral:rRNA from 1 species
UACGUAGGUGGCUAGCGUUGUCCGGAUUUACUGGGCGUAAAGAGCGCGCAGGCGGUCGUUCAAGUCGAGUGUGAAAGCCCCCGGCUCAACUGGGGGAGGGUCACUCGAUACUGAUCGACUUGAAAGAUGGGGAGAGGGAAAGCGGAAUUCCCGGGUGUAGUGGUGAAAUGCGUAGAUAUCAGGAGGAACACCGGUGCGAAGGCGGUUCUCUGGGCAUU